rnacentral:tRNA from 1 species
GCUGGAGUGGCGGAAUUGGCAGACGCACUGGACUCAAAAUCCAGCGCCCUUUACCGGGCAUGAGGGUUCGAGCCCCUCCUCCAGCACCA